rnacentral:rRNA from 1 species
AACGAACGCUGGCGGCAUGCCUAACACAUGCAAGUCGAACGCGACCUUCGGGUCUAGUGGCGCCCGGCUACGGAACGCGUGGGAACCUGCCCUUAGGUUCGGAAUAACUUCACGAACGGGGUGCUAAUACCGGAUAAUGUCUUAGGACCAAUGAUUUAUCGUCUUUGGUUGGGCCCGCGUUGAUUUAGCUAGUUGGUAGGGUAAAAGCCUACCAAGGCGACGAUCCAUAGCUGGUUUGAGAGGAUGAUCAGCCACACUGGGACUGAGACACGGCCCAGACUCCUACGGGAGGCAGCAGUGGGGAAUAUUGGACAAUGGGCGAAAGCCUGAUCCAGCAAUGCCGCGUGAGUGAUGAAGGCCUUAGGGUUGUAAAGCUCUUUUACCCGGGAUGAUAAUGACAGUACCGGGAGAAUAAGCUCCGGCUAACUCCGUG